GAUGAACGCUGGCGGCGCGCCUAACACAUGCAAGUCGAACGAUUAAAGCACCUUCGGGUGUGUAUAAAGUGGCGAACGGCUGAGUAACACGUGGGCAACCUGCCCCUUUCAUUGGGAUAGCCACGGGAAACCGUGGAUAAUACCGAAUACUUCGAGACUUCCGCAUGGAAGACUCGAGAAAGCUCCGGCGGAGAGGGAUGGGCCCGCGGCCUGUUAGCUUGUUGGUGGGGUAACGGCCUACCAAGGCAAUGAUGGGUAGCUGGGUUGAGAGACCGACCAGCCAGAUUGGGACUGAGACACGGCCCAGACCCCUACGGGAGGCAGCAGUGGGGAAUCUUGCACAAUGGGCGAAAGCCUGAUGCAGCGACGCCGCGUGCGGGAUGAAGGCCUUCGGGUUGUAAACCGCUUUCAGCAGGGACGAGGCGAAAGUGACGGUACCUGCAGAAGAAGCCCCGGCUAACUACGUGCCAGCAGCCGCGGUAAUACGUAGGGGGCAAGCGUUAUCCGGAUUCAUUGGGCGUAAAGCGCUCGUAGGCGGUCUGUUAGGUCGGGAGUUAAAUCCGGGGGCUCAACCCCCGCUCGCUCUCGAUACCGGCAGACUUGAGUUUGGUAGGGGAAGGUGGAAUUCCUAGUGUAGCGGUGGAAUGCGCAGAUAUUAGGAAGAACACCAGUGGCGAAGGCGGCCUUCUGGGCCAUAACUGACGCUGAGGAGCGAAAGCUAGGGGAGCAAACAGG
rnacentral:rRNA from 1 species